rnacentral:lncRNA from 1 species
GAGACUGCGCUUCGUGCGCGGUUCCAGCAGCAGCAGCAGUUGCGUGGUCAGAGCGAGGUUCGGAGAAGCGGUGGUGGUUUCCAUGUGACGGUGGAGGAAGAGGCAGGUCUUGGAGGAGACAAAACUUUUUUCAGUCUACAUGCCUGCGAUCACAUGGCAUGGGACUUUCUCUACCAGGCUCAUUUUUUAGACCUGAUGUUCUCCAGAUUUCUUUAUGUGGCUGCAGAUGGCAGGAUUUCCCAAAGCUUUGUGGCUGAAACAUAUUUUGUGGUGCAUCUGUACAGCAGUUUCUUCAUCCCUGCAGCUGUGUAUGGACAGGUCAUUUACCAUGAUGUCCUCCAGGUUCAACAGUGUGGCUCCAAAUGAUGAAAUUUCAUUCUGUUUUUCUGGCUGAAGAAUAUUCUAUUCGUGUACAUCCACCACAGUUACUUUAUCCUUUCAUCUGUGGAUGGACAGGUUUUUCCACAUGGCUGCAAAUGACUAGAUUUCACCCAUUUCUAUGGUUGAAGAAUAUUCCGUUCUGGAUGAACAUUGCAGUUUCCUCAUCCCUUCAUCAAUGGAUGAAAAGGCCCCUCUGCAGCAGGUCUGCUGGAGUUUACUGGAGGUCCACUUUAGGCCCUGUUUGCCUGUGUCACCAGCACAGGCUGCAGAACAGCAAAAAUUGCUGCCUGUUCCUUCACUGCUUCCCAGAGGGGCACCUGCCAGAUGCCAGCCAGAGAUCUCCUGAGUGAGGUGUCCGUUGACCUUUACUGGGAGGUGUCUCCCAGUCAGGAGGAAUGGGAGUCAGAGAAUCCCUUAAGGAGAGCUCGAGUGCUGUGCUGGGAGAUAAGCUACUCUCUUCAGAGCCAGCAAACAGGCACGUUUAAGUCUGCUAAAGUUGCUCCUACAGCCUCCCGUCCCCUAGGUGCUCUGUCCCAGGGAGAUGGGAGGUUGACCUAUAAGCCCCUGACUGGGGCUGCUGCCUUUUUUUCAGAGAUGCCCUGCCCAGAAAGGAGGAAUCUAGAGAGGCUAAGCUGUAGUGGCCUCCACCCAGUUCGAACUUACUGGCAGCUUAUACUGUGAGGAGAAAAUCGCCUACUCAAGUCUCAGUAAUGACAGAUACCCCUCUCCCCACCAAGCUUGAGCAUCCCAGGUUGACUUCAGACUGCUGUGCUGGCAGAGAGAAUUUCAAGCCAGUGGAUCUUAGCUUCCUGGACUUUGUGGGGGUGGGAUCCGCUAAGAAAGAUCACUUAGCUUCCUGGCUUCAGCCCCCUUUCCAGGGGAAUAAACGGUGCUGUCUUGCUGGUGUUCCAGGUGCCACUGGGGGAUGAAAAAAUACUCCUGCAGCUAGCUCAGUGUCUUCCCAAACAGCCACCCAGUUUUGUUCUUGAAACCUAGGGCCCUGGUGGUAUAGGCACUGGAGGGAUUCUCCUGGUCUGAGGGUUGUGAAGACUGUGGGAAAAGUGUGCUAUCUGGGCUGGAGUGCACUGUUCCUCACAGCACAGUUCCUCAGGGCUUCCCUUGGCUAGGGGAGGGAGUUCCCCAACCCCUUGCACUUCCUGGGUGAGGUGAUGCCCCACCCUGCUUUGACUCACACUCUGUGGGCUGUAUCCACUGUCUAACCAGUCCCAACGAGAUGAGCCGGAUAACUCAGUUAAAAAUGCAGAAAGCAGCUGCCUUCUGCAUUGCUCUUACUGGGAACUGCAGACUGGAGCUUUUCCUAUUCGGCCAUCUUGCCAGUCACCAAAAA